rnacentral:rRNA from 1 species
AUGCCGUUCCCCGCAUGGCCGGCCCAGCAGCCGCCGCCGACGGCGUCCCAGGGCCUGCGUCCACCGCCAUUCUCUGCGCCCUCAUCAGCCGGGACCACCUCGGGCGCGGCCUCGACUAUCGGGUUACCGAUCCAUCAGGUCCAGUUUCCCCCGUCCCCGUCCCCCCUGCCAGCAUGGGCGGCGGGGUCUUCGCCUUCACCGGUCUACUCCACGACCCCGGUUGAGCCGACUCCGUUUUCGCAGUUCGGCGGGCCAUCCGGCCCCGCCGGCCAGUACCCGGACUACUCCGAUCAGGCACCUCCGGCUUCACUCUUCCGAGCCCCCGCGCCUGCUCAGCACGGCGGGCCGCAGGAGACACCGCCGCUGUUCACCAAACUCGACUUCGCCACCUAUGAGGGCACGGAUGACCCCCUCAACUGGCUCAACCAGUGCGAACAGUUCUUUCGAGGGCAGCGGACACUCGCUUCAGAUCGUACCUGGCUCGCGUCCUAUCAUCUUCGAGGCGCAGCACAGACCUGGUACUACGCCCUCGAGCAGGACGAGGGCGGCAUGCCACCGUGGGAGCGCUUCCAGGAGCUCUGUCUUCUCCGUUUUGGGCCUCCUAUCCGCGGGAGCCGACUGGCGGCCCUCUGCCGUUUACCAUUCACAUCUACGGUGCAGGACUACGCCGAUCGCUUCCAGGCCCUGGCAUGCCACGCGCCGGGCGUCUCCGCGACCCAGCGCGCCGAGCUCUUUGUGGGCGGUCUGCCGGACCAUAUCCGCGUGGACGUCGAGCUCCGGGAUCCCCCCGAUCUCCAGACGGCCAUGUACUACGCCCGGGCCUUCAAGCAGCGGGCCCAGGCACUGCAGCCGCCACUCGGACGGAGUGGCCGCCAGCCCAGUCGGCCAGCACCGACUUCCUCAGCCCCGGGUCGGCCUCUCCCAUCCGCGACGGCCACAUCCCCGGCUGCCACACGGCCCUUCCGUCGGCUGUCACCGGCCGAGCAGCAGGAGCGUCGCAGUCAGGGUCUCUGCUUCAACUGCGAUGAGCCCUAUACGCCGACCCAUGUCUGCCCCCGCCUCUUUUAUUUAGAGACGGUCGACUACACCGAGGAGAACGACUCGCCCGAUCCGUUACAUCCGCCUGCGGCGCCCGAGGACGCGGCCGCGGAUUCCGCAGCGACGGCGUGCAUCGUCUCCCUUCAUGCCCUGGCCGGCAUCCGGGGCGAGCAGACCAUGCUGCUGCCGGUGACGAUCCAUGGUGAGCGCCUGGUGGCCCUGCUAGAUACGGGCUCCACACACAACUUUCUGUCCGAAUCGACCAUGCGUCGGCUAGCCCUCCCGACGACGGGCGGGGAGCGCCUGCGGAUCACAGUGGCGAACAGUGAUCGCCUCCGGUGCCAUGGGCUAGCCCGCGACGUUCCCAUCUCCAUCAGCGACGAACACUUUUCCAUCACUUGUGCAGGGAUCGAUCUCGGCUGCUUCGACUUCAUCCUCGGGGUGGACUUUCUCCGGACCCUCGGCCCCAUCCUAUGGGAUUUCGACGCACUCAUGAUGACAUUCUGGCGGCAGGGACGCCGCAUCCGGUGGGAGGGCAUUGGGGGCGCCGCGGCUGCCGUGCCACAUCUCCAGCUUGCUGCCGCGUCCUUGGAGGUUGAGCACCCCCUACUGGAUUCUCUUCUAGAGCAGCACAACGACCUCUUCGACGCUCCGCGGGGUCUUCCGCCUGCCCGGGUGUACGACCAUCAUAUUCACCUCGUACCAGGCUCCACUCCGGUGGCGGUACGGCCCUACCGCUACCCCCAGCUGCAGAAGGAUGAGUUGGAGCGCCAGUGUGCCCUGAUGCUCGCCGCAGGCAUCAUCCGGAUCUCCACGUCACCCUUCACGGCGCCGGUGCUUCUCGUCCGUAAGUCCGACGGCACAUGCCGCUUCUGCAUCGACUACCGCGCCCUCAACGCACUCACGCUCAAGGACAAGUUCCCUAUACCGGUGGUCGACGAGCUCUUGGAUGAGAUCCAUGGGGCACGCUUCUUCACCAAGCUCGAUCUUCGGUCGGGCUAUCAUCAGGUGCGCAUGCAUCCGGACGACAUCGCCAAGACGGCGUUUCGCACCCACCAUGGCCACUUCGAGUUCUUGGUGAUGCCUUUCGGCCUCGCCAACGCCCCGGCGACUUUCCAAGCCCUGAUGAACGACGUCCUUCGACCCUACUUACGGCGGUUUGUGCUUGUUUUCUUUGAUGACAUUCUUAUCUACAGCGCCACCUGGGCCAAACAUCUCCAGCACGUCGCCAUCGUCUUCAACGAGUUUCGGGCGCACCACCUCCACCUUAAGCGCUCAAAGUGCUCGUUCGGGACACCUACCGUCGCCUACCUCGGCCAUGUCAUCUCGGCCGACGGAGUGGCUAUGGACGCCGAUAAGGUGGCGGCCGUCUCCGCCUGGCCGACGCCUUACUCACCGCGGGCUCUCCGCGGGUUCCUCGGACUCGCUGGCUACUACUGGAAAUUUAUCCGGGAGUUCGGACUCAUCGCGGCGCCCCUCGCGUGGUUGCUUCGCCGCGAUGCCUUCGCCUGGGACGCUGAGGCGACGACGGCAUUCGAGGCCCUCAAGGGGGACCUCACGACGGGCCCCGUCCUCCAGAUGCCCGACUUCGACCGUCCGUUCGUGGUGGACUGUGACGCCUCGGGCGCCGGGUUCGGCGCAUUACUUCAUCAGGGCGAUGGGCCCCUCGCCUUCUUCAGCCGGCCUUUCGCUCCGCGCCAUCUUAAGUUGGCCGCUUACGAGCGGGAGCUCAUUGGCCUCGUCCAGGCCGUGCGUCAUUGGCGGCCAUACUUGUGGGGGCGGACCUUCCACAUUCGCACGGACCACUACAGCCUGAAGUUCUUGCUGGAUCAACGGCUGUCGACCGUACCGCAGCACCAGUGGAUCAGCAAGCUCUUCGGCUUCGACUUCUUCGUCGAGUAUCGGUCGGGCCGUCUUAACACCUUGGCCGACGCGCUAUCCCGUCGCGAUUCCGACCUCGCGCCAACCGCCGACGCGUCCGCCGGGACGGCCCUGUGCAUCCGCUUCAGGCCAUCGUUCGGUCUCUUCACCGACAUUCGACGCGCCACUGCGACGGCCGAUGACGCCGCACUUCUUCAGCAGCAGCUUGCGGUCAGCGACUUGGAGGAGCCCUGGCGCUUCUCUGACGGACUGCUCCUGCAUGGACACCGGAUCUUUGUUCCGGCGCAUGAUGAUCUCCGUCACCAGGUGUUGCAGCUCGCUCACUCGGCGGGCCAUGAGGGUGUGCAGAAAACCCUCCAUCGUCUUCGCGCCGACUUCUACAUCCUUGGCGAUCGUGCCCUGGUCCGCGACUGGGUUCGGUCUUGUCAGACUUGCCAGCGCAACAAGACAGAAACCCUGAGACCGGCGGGGCUCCUUCAGCCCUUGGAGGUGCCGUCUCAGGUUUGGGCGGAUAUCUCCUUGGACUUCAUCGAGGGCCUUCCCAAGGUAGGGGGCAAGUCAGUCAUCCUCACGGUGGUCGAUCGCUUCUCUAAGUAUGCCCACUUCAUCGCGUUGGGCCAUCCGUACACAGCGGCAUCCGUGGCCCGGGCUUUCUUCAACGGCAUAGUCUGUCUACACGGGUUCCCGAUGUCGAUCGUCAGUGAUUGGGACCCAAUCUUCACGGGCCAUGUCUGGCGCGACCUCUUCAGGAUGGCGGGUGUCCAGCUCCGCCUGAGUAUGGCGUUCCAUCCUCAGAAUAACGGUCAGUCUGAGGUGGUUAACAAGGUCAUUGCCAUGUAUUUGCGUUGUGUGACAGGUGAUCGACCUCGCGCUUGGGUGGACUGGCUAUCUUGGGCGGAGUACUGCUACAACACUUAUUAUCACUCCACCCUGCGCGCGACGCCAUUUGAGGUGGUCUAUGGUCGACCACCCCCGCCUAUACUUCCGGUCGACCCGGAGACGGCUCGGACAGCAGUAGCGGGUGACCUUAUCUGCACCCGUGAUGAGAUGCUGGCUGAGGUCCGUCAGCGUCUCCUUCAGGCCCAGCAGACGGCCAAGCACUACUACGACGAUCAUCAUCGCGAGGCGGAGUUCGCAGUGGGUGACUGGGUGUGGCUGCGUCUUCUCCACCGCUCUACGCAGUCACAGGACCCGCAGGCAAAGCGCAAGCUUGGCCCUCGCUACGCCGGGCCCUUCCCUAUCAUGGAGCGCAUUGGGAAGGUGGCCUAUCGUCUUCAGCUUCCAGCCCGCGCCCGCAUCCACGACGUGUUCCAUGUGGGGCUGCUCAAACCUUUCCGUGGCGAGCCACCGGCGGCUCCUCCGACGCUUCCUCCAACCGCCGAUGGUCGCAUUCUUCCAGAGCCAGCAAAGGUGUUGCAGGCUCAGCUCCGUCGUGGCGUCUGGUUCAUCCUAAUUCAGUGGGCGGGCCUUCCGGAGGAAGAGGCGACUUGGGAGCAGCGUGAGGAUUUCCGUCAAAACUAUCCAGACUUUCAGCUCGAGGACGAGCUGUUUGCGCAGGCGGGGAGAGAUGUUAUGACCGGCCAGGUCUAUGGCCGCCGCAGGCCCAACAGGCAAGCUUAG